rnacentral:rRNA from 1 species
CCUACGGGUGGCAGCAGUGGGGAAUAUUGCACAAUGGGGGAAACCCUGAUGCAGCAACGCCGCGUGAGUGAGGAAGUAUUUCGGUAUGUAAAGCUCUAUCAGCAGGGAAUCGAAUAGAAGGUACCUGAAAACGAAGCGCCGGCUAACUACGGGCCAGCAGCGGCGGCAAUACGGAGGGGGCAACCGUUGUCCGGAUUUACUGGGAGUAAAGGGAGCGUAGAGGGAAAGGCAAGUCAGAAGUGAAAGCCGAAGGCUCAACCAGGGGACUGCAUUUGAAACUGUCAAACUAGAGUACGGGAGAGGGAAGAGGAAUGCCUAGUGUAGCAGUGAAAUGCGUAGAUAUUAGGAGGAACACUAGUGGCGAAGGCGUGUUACUGGACAGAAACUGACGCUGAGGCACGAAAGCGUGGGGAGCAAACAGGAUUAGAUACCCCAGUAGUC